rnacentral:rRNA from 1 species
UACGGAGGGUGCGAGCGUUGUCCGGAAUCACUGGGCGUAAAGGGCGCGUAGGCGGCGCGGUAAGCGUGCGGUGAAAGUCCGGGGCUCAACCCCGGAUCGGCCGUGCGGACUGCCGGGCUUGAGCACUGUAGGGGCGGGUGGAACUCCGGGUGUAGCGGUGGAAUGCGUAGAGAUCCGGAGGAACACCAGGGGCGAAAGCGGUCGACUGGUCGAGUUCUGACACUGAGGCGCGACGGCGUGGGGAGCAAACCGG